rnacentral:rRNA from 1 species
CGGGGAAUAUUGCACAAUGGGCGCAAGCCUGAUGCAGCGACGCCGCGUGAGGGAUGAAGGCCUUCGGGUUGUAAACCUCUUUCAGCAGGGAAGAAGCGCAAGUGACGGUACCUGCAGAAGAAGCGCCGGCUAACUACGUGCCAGCAGCCGCGGUAAUACGUAGGGCGCAAGCGUUGUCCGGAAUUAUUGGGCGUAAAGAGCUCGUAGGCGGUUUGUCGCGUCUGCUGUGAAAACUCGAGGCUCAACCUCGGGCUUGCAGUGGGUACGGGCAGACUAGAGUGCGGUAGGGGUGACUGGAAUUCCUGGUGUAGCGGUGGAAUGCGCAGAUAUCAGGAGGAACACCGAUGGCGAAGGCAGGUCACUGGGCCGCAACUGACGCUGAGGAGCGAAAGCAUGGGGAGCGAAC